AAGUUUCACAAACCCUCCUGUCAUAUUCUGUAGGGUGAAGAUUGAUGUGUUAUAUUGUUUGAAUCAUUGGUUAUACUACACUAGCCACAAAAUAGGUCCCAGGGAAAAUGAAAUAUAAAAGGGGGGCGUCUUCUGAAGUGUACUAUUAUUAGGUGGAGAAUGAAGUCUUAAGAGCAAUAAGGCACCCCUCAGCCAGGUUAGAACGCAUUAUACCAGUAAAAAAACGAUACAGUUCCUUUAAUGACGGACAGGCGGAAUAUAUAAAACAUAAUCUCUACGUUUGCUCUGCCUGGAGGUUGAAUGCCCCUAAGGGAGGAGGAUCCCCACAGCCGUUGAGUAGUCCAGAGCCGUAAUACAGAAAGGAGAAGAGAGAA